rnacentral:rRNA from 1 species
CUACUGGGGUUUCUAAUCCUGUUUGCUCCCCACGCUUUCGCACCUGAGCGUCAGUCUUUGUCCAGGGGGCCGCCUUCGCCACCGGUAUUCCUCCACAUCUCUACGCAUUUCACCGCUACACAUGGAAUUCUACCCCCCUCUACAAGACUCUAGCUGACCAGUCUUAGAUGCCAUUCCCAGGUUAAGCCCGGGGAUUUCACAUCUAACUUAAUCAACCGCCUGCGUGCGCUUUACGCCCAGUAAUUCCGAUUAACGCUUGCACCCUCCGUAUUACCGCGGCUGCUGGCAC